GAGUUUGAUCCUGGCUCAGAACGAACGCUGGCGGCGUGGAUAAGACAUGCAAGUUCGUACGCUGAUUGGCGGAUAGCAAUAUUCGGCGGUCGGAGUGGCGUAAGGGUGCGUAACACGUGGGUAAUUUGCCGCAUGGUUCGGAAUAACCCCGAGAAAUCGGGGCUAAUGCCGAAUGUGAUAGCGAGGGGGCAUCCCCUAACUAUCAAAGCCGGGGACCGCAAGGCCUGGCGCUAUGUGAUAAGCCCGCGUCCUAUCAGCUUGUUGGUGAGGUAACGGCUCACCAAGGCAAAGACGGGUAGCUGGUCUGAGAGGACGACCAGCCACACUGGAACUGAGACACGGUCCAGACACCUACGGGUGGCAGCAGUCGAGAAUUUUUCACAAUGGGCGAAAGCCUGAUGGAGCGACGCCGCGUGGGGGAUGAAGGGCUUCGGUCCGUAAACCCCUGUCAUUCGGGAUCAAACCCUGCGUCCUAACAUGUCGCAGGCUGAUAGUACCGAAAGAGGAAGGGACGGCUAACUCUGUGCCAGCAGCCGCGGUAAUACAGAGGUCCCAAGCGUUGUUCGGAUUCACUGGGCGUAAAGGGUGCGUAGGUGGCGGGGCAAGUUCGAUGUGAAAUCUCCGAGCCUAACUCGGAAACUGCAUUGAAAACUGCCUUGCUUGAGGGUCGGAGGGGAGACUGGAAUUCUCGGUGUAGCAGUGAAAUGCGUAGAUAUCGAGAGGAACACCAGUGGCGAAGGCGAGUCUCUGGACGACUCCUGACACUGAUGCACGAAAGCUAGGGGAGCAAACAGGAUUA
rnacentral:rRNA from 1 species